GUAUCAUGGCUCAGGAUGAACGCUAGCUACAGGCUUAACACAUGCAAGUCGAGGGGCGAGCAUGGUCUUAGCUUGCUAAGGCCGAUGGCGACCGGCGCACGGGUGAGUAACGCGUAUCCAACCUGCCUUACACGUCUUGGACAGCCUUCUGAAAGGGAGAUUAAUACAAGAUGUUAUCAUGGGUAAGCAUUUUCGCAUGAUUAAAGGUUUACCGGUGUAAGAUGGGGAUGCGUUCCA
rnacentral:rRNA from 1 species